GAUGAAGAACGUAGCGAAAUGCGAUACGUAAUGUGAAUUGCAGAAUUCAGUGAAUCAUCGAAUCUUUGAACGCAUAUUGCGCUCUCUGGUAUUCCGGAGAGCAUGCUUGUUUGAGUAUCAGUAAACACCUCAACUCCCUUUUCUUUUUUGAAAUGGGAGCUGGACUUGAGUGAUCCCAACGCUUUUCUCACCGGAAAGUGGCGGGUUACUUGAAAUGCAGGUGCAGCUGGACUUUUCUCUGAGCUAUAAGCAUAUCUAUUUAGUCUGCCUAAAAACAGAUUAUUACCUUUGCUGCAGCUAACAUAAAGGAGAUUAGUUCUUGUGCUGACUGAUGCAGGAUUCACAGAGACAGCUUCGGCUGACUUUGUAAACUCGAUCUCAAAUCAAGUAAGACUACCCGCUGAACUUAAGAAUAUCAAUAAGCGGAGGA
rnacentral:misc_RNA from 1 species